ACGCUGGCGGCGUGCCUAAUACAUGCAAGUAGAACGCUGAAGGAGGAGCUUGCUUCUCCGGAUGAGUUGCGAACGGGUGAGUAACGCGUAGGUAACCUGCCUGGUAGCGGGGGAUAACUAUUGGAAACGAUAGCUAAUACCGCAUAAGAGUAGAUGUUGCAUGACAUUUGCUUAAAAGGUGCAAUUGCAUCACUACCAGAUGGACCUGCGUUGUAUUAGCUAGUUGGUGGGGUAACGGCUCACCAAGGCGACGAUACAUAGCCGACCUGAGAGGGUGAUCGGCCACACUGGGACUGAGACACGGCUCAGACUCCUACGGGAGGCAGCAGUAGGGAAUCUUCGGCAAUGGACGGAAGUCUGACCGAGCAACGCCGCGUGAGUGAAGAAGGUUUUCGGAUCGUAAAGCUCUGUUGUAAGAGAAGAACGAGUGUGAGAGUGGAAAGUUCACACCGUGACGGUAUCUUACCAGAAAGGGACGGCUAACUACGUGCCAGCAGCCGCGGUAAUACGUAGGUCCCGAGCGUUGUCCGGAUUUAUUGGGCGUAAAGCGAGCGCAGGCGGUUAGAUAAGUCUGAAGUUAAAGGCUGUGGCUUAACCAUAGUACGCUUUGGAAACUGUUUAACUUGAGUGCAAGAGGGGAGAGUGGAAUUCCAUGUGUAGCGGUGAAAUGCGUAGAUAUAUGGAGGAACACCGGUGGCGAAAGCGGCUCUCUGGCUUGUAACUGACGCUGAGGCUCGAAAGCGUGGGGAGCAAACAGGAUUAGAUACCCUGGUAGUCCACGCCGUAAACGAUGAGUGCUAGGUGUUAGACCCUUUCCGGGGUUUAGUGCCGCAGCUAACGCAUUAAGCACUCCGCCUGGGGAGUACGACCGCAAGGUUGAAACUCAAAGGAAUUGACGGGG
rnacentral:rRNA from 1 species